rnacentral:rRNA from 1 species
GAUAACUAUCCGAAAGGAUAGCUAAUACCGCAUAUUCUGUGAGCAGGAAAGCAGGGGAUCGCAAGACCUUGCGCUGAUUGAGCGGCCGAUAUCAGAUUAGCUAGUUGGUGGGGUAAAAGCCUACCAAGGCGACGAUCUGUAGCGGGUCUGAGAGGAUGAUCCGCCACACUGGAACUGAGACACGGUCCAGACUCCUACGGGAGGCAGCAGUGGGGAAUUUUGGACAAUGGGCGAAAGCCUGAUCCAGCCAUGCCGCGUGAGUGAAGAAGGCCUUCGGGUUGUAAAGCUCUUUCGGCCGGGAAGAAAUCGCACAGGCUAAUACCCUGUGUGGAUGACGGUACCGGAAUAAGAAGCACCGGCUAACUACGUGCCAGCAGCCGCGGUAAUACGUAGGGUGCGAGCGUUAAUCGGAAUUACUGGGCGUAAAGCGUGCGCAGGCGGUUUUUUAAGACAGGCGUGAAAUCCCCGGGCUUAACCUGGGAACUGCGCUUGUGACUGGAAGGCUANAGUACGGCAGAGGGGGGUGGAAUU